rnacentral:lncRNA from 1 species
UUUGCUUCGCUUCUUCCGUAGCCGUUUGCUCUCCCCUCUCUUCGCCUCUACUGGUCUCAAAGUGGAUAGUUUUGUGGUGAGUUCUUCUAAUCUUGCAUCUACAAGUUUUUUAUGCAACUGUAUGGAUUGUGUUCUGUUAAAUUUUAGAUGUUAGAAGCUUUUAAUUUUUUUUGGGUUCAAUUUUAAAUGGGUUGUUGCUUUCAGAGUUUUCGUUUGAUGACAGAGAUGGGGUUUUUGGGGAGAAACUUUUAAUCCGUGAGUUUUUUAGUUAGGUUGUGUUGUGGGUCUUGAGAAAUGGAUUUGUAAAUGGAUUUUCUAUUGAAAUUGUUUCUCUUCUCAUUUUUUUUUUGUGCCAUCGGGUUUUGCAUAUGGGUGUAUAAUCAGGUUUUCUUUUGAAUUUCAGGGGAUUCAGGUUUUUAUUUUUCUGGAACUUUUGUCUGCAGCUUUGGAAGACAUUUGUGCUUAAGGUGAGAAACUUUGGUUGCUUGCUUUUGGGUUUUGUUGUAGAAUUAAUUAAUUUUUUUUAAGAGUUACAUUCGUGGGAAUUCUUUUGUUCUUCUUUUUUCCUGCAUCUCAAAAAUGCCACAUAAUGUGAGUUUAUAAUUAAAUAAGAAUAUCAAAAUGGGUUUUCUGUGCAAAUUUUCUUUUUCUGAUUUUAUAGAACCGAAGAGGAUGUUAACAAUAACAUUAUUGUGUGAUAUGCGAUCUAAAGUUCUUUGGUGAGUUAUUUGGUUUUCUUGCCACAUGGGAUUUUAACAUAUUUUUUUUUCGUGGUUUAUGCGUGGUUCUCUGAUAUGUUUUGAUUUUUUAUUUCAGGAAAAGUUAACGAUACGAUCAAACGUUUACUGGUGAAUUUUCUAUUUUUCUGAUUGUGUGUGAUUUAAUUUUUUUCAAGCUUUGGGUGUACUUUUCUGAACUGCUUUGAUUUUUAGUUGCAGCAAAAGUUGUUGCUCGAAUUUUCCAGUUUUUAUCUGCAGCUUUGCAAGCUCUUUAUCAACAAGGUAUAUAAUUUUUAUUCUUUUUCCUGAAUCUUUUGUUGGAUGGAAUCGUUUUUUUUGUUUUUGGUGAGUUCUUCUAAUCUCGCAUCUGGUACUGUUUUUUUUUCCGACUGUAUAGAUUGUGUUUUGUUGAAUUUUAAAUGGUAGAAGCUUCUUGGGUUCAAUUUAAAUGGGUUGUUAUCAACUAUUGAAUUGUUUUCGAAGCUAUUUGGCUACUCCCUUAACGCCCUUUUUCCUUUUCUUUUCAGCUUCUUUGAUUUGCAGCCCCCUUCUUUUUUUUCCUUUUCCAGAUUUAGCUUUUUUCCCCUAUAUUGUAUCUUUUGGCUAAUUUUGUGGGUCUUGGUCAGUGCUGUGGGUAUUGGUGAAUUUCUAGCAUGUUUAUGCAUGCAGUUUUUGUUAUAAUUUAUGGAUUGUGUUUUGUUCAAUUUUUAAAUGUCAGAAGCUCUUAAUUUUUUUGGGUUCAAUUUUAAAUGGGUUGUUAUCAACCAUUGAAUUUCUUUUGGAGUAUUCAUUUGAUAAGAGAGAUGGGGGGGGGGGGGGGUUCUUUUGGGUGAAACUUUUGAUCCGUGAGAUUUUUAGUUAGGUUGUGGUGUGGGUUUUCGCAAAUUUCUAUCGUGUUUAUGCAUGCUUUUUUUUGUUAUAGAUUUGGAAGAACAUAGCAUUACAGGGUGUUGAGGGUUUGCUGGCGGGGGAAAGUAGCAGCGUUAAGAUUUUGCAGGUGAGAUAUUAGGGUGAGAGAAUAACGGGACAAAGAGCAUCGAAGACACAUUUGGGAUUAGGGGUAGCAAAACAGGGGAAAAGAAUAUGACAGAGGAAUGGACUCUUAAUUUUUUUUCUUAACUGGUUUGGGAUUUUGCUUGCCUUUGGGGUCGUUGUUGGCGUCAAGCCAUUUGGUGGUGUUAAGUGGUGUCUGUUUUUUCAUAACUUUUAUUACUAAUUUUUAUGUUGUUUGCGAUUUUGUGUCCUGGGAUUUCUGAAUUUUAUCGUUCAUUGUCGGUUUUUUAAAUUUUUUUUUGUCUUCAUUUGUUUGUUUAAUAUGUUGUGUUUGUCCUGGGACGCCGUUUUGCAAGUUUUCUUUCCAUUGGGACCGCUACAUUUUAUAAGUGAUGCGGGUGAGGUUUAGAUACUCAAAACACUCCAUUUUUUUUUUUUUCCAAACAUGCACGUUUGGUUCUCUUCGGUUUUAAAUGUUUAAAAUUAAAUGGUUAUUUUGAUAAAAUGGUUUAUUAGUUUUUCUUAUGUGUUAUGAUCAGGAAUUCAAUUGGAUUGGGUAAAAUGCUUUAUCAAUUUACACUAUAGGGAAUUUUAUGUAUUAUGGUCUGUGAGUUUUAUUGCUCAUCGUUUGUUCUUUUUUCUUUGUUUGCCGGUUUCUUUUGCAAGGGAUCACAAUAGUUUGGGCAUCUUUUUGAGUUUUAAAUUGCUUGAGGGUAAGAUUUAGAUAAUAAAAUUCGAAACGAGGCGUUACUUUUCUUUUCGGAAACUAAUUUAAAAGCUCUACAUGGAUAGUUAACUGUGUGGAAAUGUCUUGAUAAAACCUGAACCUUUUGUAUAUGUGAAUGUUGAUUCCUUACUACAAAUAUAAUAGGCAUAGUGGUCUAAAAAAUUAAAACCCACCGACACAUGACAUCAGAAAUUCAAUCCAAUUUCUACUGUUACCAUUACCUUCUUUCAUUCAGAUCAUUCAGCAUACA